rnacentral:rRNA from 1 species
UACAGAGGUCUCAAGCGUUGUUCGGAUUCAUUGGGCGUAAAGGGUGCGUAGGUGGCGCUGUAAGUCGGGUGUGAAAUUUCGGAGCUUAACUCCGAAACUGCAUUCGAUACUGCGGUGCUUGAGGACUGGAGAGGAGACUGGAAUUCAUGGUGUAGCAGUGAAAUGUGUAGAGAUCGGGAGGAACACCGGUGGCGAAGGCGGGUCUCUGGGCAUCUCCUGACGCUGAGGCGCGAAAGCGUGGGGAGCAAACAGG